rnacentral:lncRNA from 1 species
AGGAGGUAAGCCACAACGAAUAACAGUGCCAACCACAGGUCACAGCAGCAGUAAUCGGGACCAAUUUCGAGCCAAGUUUAACUCAUAAACCCAGAAAUCAUCACAGUAGCAUGUCAUAAAACUACAACACUCCACAGCUAACCCAAAGGUGCUAGAAAUUAAAGUAGAAACACUUCAAAACUUUUCUAUCCAAAGCAAAGGAGAAACUCCACUUGACAACAAUCAAUUCAUGUAGAAUAACCACCAGAACUGCUUAAAAUCAACCAAGUAAACACCUCUAAAUCUUCAAUUAACAGAGAUUGAGCUAGGAAAUUCUCAUUAGUCACUAAAACUUGCAAUAAGCCUAAGGUAACAGUAAUUCUUUUUUGAUUUUCUAUUGGAUUUUCUAUUGUUUUUGGCUUUUCCAGUAAACACCUCUAAGACUUCAAUUAACAGGGAUUGAGCUAGGAAAUGCUCAUGAGUCACUAAAACUAGCAAUUGGCCUAAGGUAACAAUAAUUCUUUUUUUUUUUUGGUUUCUAUUGGAUUUUCUAUUGUUUUUGGUUUUUUCUAGAAAUUGCUACUAUUUUUUUUGUUUUGAUUUUUGAAGAUUUUGGAGUUUGGAUCUCAAGUUUCAGAUCUGAAACUUUGUAGAGAAAUGGGGGAUUUUUUGUGAGGC